GCUUAAAACUCAAAGGACUUGGCGGUGCUUUACAUCCCUCUAUAGGAGCCUGUUCUAUAAUCGAUAAACCCCGAUAUACCUCACCACCCCUUGCUAAUCCAGCCUAUAUACCGCCAUCUUCAGCAAACCCUAACAAGGAACAAAAGUAAGCACAAAUAAUCAAACACAUAAAAGUUAGGUCAAGGUGUA
rnacentral:rRNA from 1 species